CGUAGGUGGUAGUGUAAGUCUGGGGUGGAAUCCCAGGGCUUAACCCUGGAACUGCCUUGGAAACUGCAUUACUUGAGUCAGUGAGGGGAGGGUAGAAUUCCUGGUGUAGCGGUGAAAUGCGUAGAUAUCAGGAGGAAGGCCUGUGGCGAAGGCGGCCCUCUGGCGCUGGACUGACACUGAGGCGCGAAAGCGUGGGGAGCAAACAGGAUUAGAUACCCUGGUAGUCCACGCCCUAAACGGUGGGCACUAGGUGUAGGGCUCGUAAGGGUUCUGUGCCGAAGGGAACCAUUAAGUGCCCCGCCUGGGGAGUACGGCCGCAAGGUUGAA
rnacentral:rRNA from 1 species